ACGUUUUCGAGUAAUGGAUUUUUCGUUUCAGCUUCUGGUGCUGAAGUCCAAAUGCCUUGGUGUGUUGCCUGGUCGUGCAAAUCAACUAAGAAAUC
rnacentral:tRNA from 2 species